GGCGCUGUGGUGAAAUUGGUAUACACGGGGGAUUCAAAAUCCCCUGCCGAAAGGCGUGGCGGUUCGAGUCCGCCCAGCGCUA
rnacentral:tRNA from 1 species